GCCGGUCCCCCGCGGGGCGAGCGUGCGGCAGGGAGGCUGAGCGCCCGGCGGGUUGGGCCCUGGGGGACGCGGACCGGCCAGGAAUUGUCAAGCAGAAAUUCCAACAGCAGCGCUCCCAAGUGACUGGCAUUCAGCAGGGCCAGAAAGUACAUCCUCUCUCACUGGAACAACAGAAGGGGGCUUCUGAAAGACACUGGUUGAAAAGACUUGAUGCGUGUGCUCUUCUGGAAAAGAGAAUCUACAGAAUUAGAGGGUCAACUAAAAUGCUUGACAAGGCAGAAUGAAGAUAAAUGCAAAGAUGGCAUGUCCAAGGAAUUUUAAAAGGUGUAGACCUCCUGAUUGAAGAUUGUUGUGUAUCUUAUUCUGUUUAACUAGUAAAGUAAGUAUGAACAUUUUAAGUAUGGUAUGUAAAUAAAUAUUGAUUUUGAUAUUGA
rnacentral:lncRNA from 1 species